GACGAACGCUGGCGGCAUGCCUAAUACAUGCAAGUCGAACGCUGAAGCACUCUGCUUGCAGAGUGCGGAUGAGUGGCGAACGGGUGAGUAACACGUGGGGAAUCUGCCUAGGAGUGGGGGAUAACAUUCGGAAACGGAUGCUAAUACCGCAUAUCUUCUUAGACCGCAUGGUCUAUGGAUGAAAGACGGCUUUGCUGUCGCUCUUAGAUGAUCCCGCGGCGUAUUAGUUAGUUGGUGGGGUAAAGGCCUACCAAGACAAUGAUACGUAGCCGACCUGAGAGGGUGAUCGGCCACACUGGGACUGAGACACGGCCCAGACUCCUACGGGAGGCAGCAGUGGGGAAUAUUGCACAAUGGGCGCAAGCCUGAUGCAGCAACGCCGCGUGGAGGAAGACGGUUUUCGGAUUGUAAACCUCGUGUUACGUUAGUAGAAGAAUAAGUAGGUAACGGUACGUACGUAAAGGACGACGAACG
rnacentral:rRNA from 1 species